rnacentral:rRNA from 1 species
UACGUAGGGGGCAAGCGUUGUCCGGAUUUAUUGGGCGUAAAGAGCGUGUAGGCGCCAGACAGGUCCGUUGUGAAAACUCGAGGCUCAACCUCGAGACGCCGAUGGAAACCGUCUGGCUAGAGUCCGGAAGAGGAGAGUGGAAUUCCUGGUGUAGCGGUGAAAUGCGCAGAUAUCAGGAAGAACACCCGUGGCUAAGGCGGCUCUCUAGUACGGUACUGACGCUGAGGAGCGAAAGCGUGGGGAGCGAACAGG